AUUGAACGCUGGCGGAAUGCUUUACACAUGCAAGUCGAACGGCAGCACGGACUUCGGUCUGGUGGCGAGUGGCGAACGGGUGAGUAAUGUAUCGGAACGUGCCCAGUCGUGGGGGAUAACGUAGUGAAAAUUACGCUAAUACCGCAUACGAUCUAUGGAUGAAAGCGGGGGAUCGCAAGACCUCGAGCGAUUGGAGCGGCCGAUAUCGGAUUAGGUAGUUGGUGGGGUAAAGACCCACCAAGCCAACGAUCUGUAGCUGGUCUGGGAGGACGACCCGCCACACUGGAACUGAGACACGGUCCAGACUCCUACGGGAGGCAGCAGUGGGGAAUUUUGGACAAUGGGCGAAAGCCUGAUCCAGCCAUUCCGCGUGCAGGAUGAAGACCCUCGGGUUGUAAACUGCUUUUGUACAGAACGAAAAGGUUUCUACUAAUACUAGGAGCUCAUGACGGUACUGUAAGAAUAAGCACCGGCUAACUACGUGCCAGCCGCCGCAGUAA
rnacentral:rRNA from 1 species